UUCUGAAUCGCUCAAUUGGUAGAGUUUGAGACCCUUAAUCUCAGAGUUGUGGGUUCAAGCCCCAUGUUGGGCAGAAA